rnacentral:piRNA from 1 species
UAACUGAGCCUCACAUUCAGGUCUGGUGU